GCCAGCAACCAUAUCACCCUGUAGCUCACAACUGACUACCCACUGAAGCUAAGCAGGGUUGAGCCUGGUCAGUACCCAGGUGGGUGACCUCCAGUGAAGCUAUGGUUGCUGCUGGAA
rnacentral:rRNA from 1 species